AGAAACCUAAUUUUUUCAAAGACUUUCAUUUCCAUAAGCUAUUGAGAUAUUGGACUCAAAUUGAUUUAAUAAGAUGCAAGAUCACAGGAGAAGGGACCUUUUCAUUUUCUACAUGGGCAUUCCCAAGCAUCCGUAAGAGUUUUUUAAACAAGCUCAGUUGCGAGUAAAAAAGGGUAUGGAAGGAGUCACAGCCCACUUAAAUACAAUCACACAAAUUCGAGGACACAGGAAAAGGGAAAAGAAUUCUAGGUAAUACAGAAAGAA
rnacentral:lncRNA from 1 species